GAGAAGCAAAGCCGCGAGGUAGAGCAAAUCUCAAAAAGACAUCUCAGUUCAGACUGCAGGCUGCAACUCGCCUGCACGAAGUCGGAAUUGCUAGUAAUCGUAGGUCAGCAUACUACGGUGAAUACGUUCCCGGGCCUUGUACACACCGCCCGUCAAACCAUGAGAGUUGGCAACACCCGAAGUCGGUAGUCUAACCGCAAGGAGGACGCCGCCGAAGGUGGGGUUGAUGAUUAGGGUUAAGUCGUAACAAGGUACC
rnacentral:rRNA from 1 species